rnacentral:misc_RNA from 1 species
GGACUACAGGGGUAUCUAAUCCUGUUUGCUCCCCACGCUUUCGCACCUCAGCGUCAGUAUUGGCCCAGGAAGUCGCCUUCGCCACUGGUGUUCCUUCCGAUAUCUACGCAUUUCACCGCUACACCGGAAAUUCCACUUCCCUCUACCAUACUCUAGUCAGGCAGUAUCGACUGCAAUUCCCAGGUUAAGCCCGGGGCUUUCACAACCGACUUACCAAACCGCCUACGCGCGCUUUACGCCCAGUAAUUCCGAUUAACGCUUGCACCCUCCGUAUUACCGCGGCGGCUGGCACG